AAAAAAGUUAAAAAGAAAAAAAAAGUGUUGUUGUGCUGCUAUAGUGUGAUUGAUAGAAAUAGAAGAAGAGAAGAAGGAAAAGAAGAGGAGAGGAGAGGAGAGGAGAGAGAGAGGGGAAAGAAGAAGAGGAGGAGAGAAAGAGAGGAAGAAAUCAAAAAAUACCUUAUUGUGGUCUUAAGUUUUCUCCAAUGUCAUCGCUGGUGUCAUGAGAUAGAGAACAGGUUAGGUGUUUCAACUAUUUGCUAUUUUAAAACAAAAAAUUAAAGAAAAAUAUGAAAAGUAUCCAUUGUUUCUCAGAGGCGUUGCCUUUAAUGCCUCAUGCCUCUCACCUUGGAGCCUCAGAAGCUUGCUUUUGGGAUGCCGAUUUGCCUCAGCCAGGCGAGGCGUCAAGAGGUCUCCCGCCUUUAAUAACACCGCUUAAGGCUACAUUUGUAUAAUAUAAUGGAAUCAAAGUUGUAAUGUAAUACAAUACAGUAGAAGAAAAUGUAAUGAUUAACACUACAAUUUCAUGAUUGUUUGCAUAUAUAUGUUGAUGGAAUGUAAUCAAAUUAUUAGUACAAUUUUAAUAUAUAAUAUUAUUUUAUUAGAUUUUUUUUAAUUUGAAAUUAUUAAUAUUUUCAUUAUUACCUUCGCAGUUGUGGUGGUGGUAAUGGUAGUUAAGUGGUGGUGGUAGAGGCAAUGGCUGAGUGGUGCUGAUGGUGGUGGCUAAGUGGUGUUUAUGACAGCGGUGGUCAGGUGGUGAUUGAGAUGGUGGUAGCAUAGUAGUGGUAAGGUGGUGAUGGUACUAUUGAUGGUAGUGGCCAAGUGGUGAUGAUGGUGGCAGCUGUGGCUAAGUGGUGGUAGGGUGGCAAUAGUGGUUGUGGUGACAAUGGUGGUCAAGUGCUAGUAGUGGAAGCAGGGAAUGGGUGUGGGUGGUAGUGGAAAUGGCCGAAUGAUGGUGGUGACAGCAGUAGCGAUGGUGGUGGUAGCUGGCUAGUAGUGGUAAUAAUAGAGGUGGUGGUAGUUGAUUGGUGGUGAUGUUGUUGACAAUAAAUGAAAAAAAAAAUAAUAAUAAAACAAGGAAAAAAUUUUUAAGAAAAGAAAAAGGAAAUUAGGAAAAAGUUUACACACAUGUAACCACCAGUCACGUGGUUAAGAGUCUACUAGUAUGGUUAGGCCAAGUUCAAGGCCAUUAGAAGAGGCAAUUCCCGCCAAAAAAGCACACAUACACACGUGUGUGCCAUGCACCCCUAGAGCAUGUGCACACAAACCACUCUCAAAAUCUAUAAACAUAUAUCAUAUCAUGUGUUGACAGAGCCAUGUUAUUAUUUUCUUUUCUUUGGAGUUUCUUCCCAUCAAAAGACGGAGCGAUGAAAAUGAUGGCGGCCAAGAUAAGAGAAGCUUGGUAGCUUUCCUUGUUUUCUAUGAACAGCUCAAACUUCUAAGUUCAAUCCAUUAUUUUCGCUUACCCAUUUGAUUUUCUUUGCCCCUUAAGGUCCCACCAUCUCCUUCCUUUCAUUCUACAAUCGAUGCUGUCAUUGAAUUUCAUCACCCCACUUCUUUCACACUCUAUGACUACUAUUUAAAACAUAAGCUUUCUCUCUCUUCUCCUAACUUUCUCACACAAAAAUAUUAAGGUAACAAAUCCCCCUCCCUUGGGAAUCUGCAAUGCCAUUAAUAAUCAAUGGCAAACCCCACCAAAAAAAUUAAUAAAUCUCCAAACUCACCAAACUCUACCUCACACAUAUAUACACAAAAUAAUCUACAUAUCAAUCGUCUCAAUUUGCCCUCAAAACGCUCCAAGAAAAUAUUUUUGAGGAUUCUAUAUAACUUGGACCACCAUUAUUUUCUUUCCUUUAUUUUUUUUUCUCCUUUUUUCCUCCAUUUUUUAUAUCCUCUUUGCCAUCACUCGGAGUUUCCUUUGUCAUCAUCCGUCCAUAAGCAGUUAUUUAAUUUUCUCCUUUUAUGAGAUGAUGAUGAGGAAGAAGAUGAAGAUGGAGAAGAAGAUGAGUCACUGGACCUCAUUCUAGCCCGGAUUGUUACUCUAAGCAGCGGUAAGACUUUUGGGGGUUUCCUCCGGCUGUUGUCAAGCACAAGAUCUUGCAUUAAGCGGUAGCAGCUGAUGAUGUUUUCCUGCAAAAAUUGGAUAUACUUGGGAGUUGGGAUGCGAGUUUGUACUUGUUACAUAUACACGCCCAGUCGCAAUCAUAAUCAUUUUAAAUAUAGCUUUCUGAUGUAUCCAAAAAAAAAAAUUCACUAAAGUAAUAAUAAUAAUUAUCAUCAUUUUAAAUAAUAUGUAAAUAUACUUAUCUCCUUACUUUGCUUAGCCCAUCACACCACGAUUCAGCAUGUUCAGGAUUAAAAAGAGACAAGUUUGGUAUUUCAUUGGCUGCACAAAGUAUAGCUGCAGCAGCAAUGCUUGAUGGCCAAUACUCAAGAAAGCUCGCUUCUUGCAUAUUAGAUAGAAUGAUUUCCGUGGCCCGUGAAAUUAGAAACCCAAUAUAGUCUCCAGUUGAAUCGAUUUUGCAAGCGAAGAAGCCAAGAAAGCUAAAUGGUGUUACAGAUCGUAGCCUCCAAUCCAACACACUGAGAACGAGAAGUUCCAUCCUUCGGAUUGUUCUGGGUUCAAAUAUAUAUUUGGCACCUUCAACCUGGAGAUCCAAUAGAGAAGGAACCAGAGCUUCCUCCAUUUUAGCUGCUAGUGACAAGCAAGCAACAGAUAGAAGUUGCAUUGGCCAUCCACUCGUUUGCGGCAAUGGACGAGAAUAAAGGAACCGAUCCAAAUAGUUGACGGACAGAUAAGCCGUCAAUGGCUGGAAUCUAUAGUAUGCUUGCACCUUGAGAAUCCAUGCAACGGAUUCUUCGCGAGCCGAUGCAUCGAGAGAGCGGGAUAGGAACCGAGAUAAGUAAUCGAAUCCAGGAACGAAGUUCCUUUCAUCUUCAAUGAAACUGGCAAUGGAUUCUUCGACACAUGCCGGAGAUUCGAGGUCCGACGAGCAUUCCGGCGAUUCACCGGAGAAAAUUUCGGAUGAGUCCUCGCUGCAGAGAAGGUCGGUGAAGCAAUCGGAGCACGGCAGUGACAUGAUCGCCGUCGAUGGUUUCUCAUUCUCUGGUCAUCUUUAUUUUGUAAUAGUAUCGAAGCCAAAAAAGACUUCGGAAAUCGAUGGGCGAAAUAUUGGUCGGAGAUGUCACCGGGAAGUGACCGGAACAAGAAGAGCAAGAGAGAUUUGUUUUUGUGUUGGUGGUUUUGAAGGCUCUAUACAUGAAUGUCUAUCAAUCUGUUCCUCUUGGGAUAUAAAUAUGAGGUGAUGUGAUUUUUU
rnacentral:misc_RNA from 1 species